rnacentral:misc_RNA from 1 species
GAAAUGCGAUAAGUAAUGUGAAUUGCAGAAUUCAGUGAAUCAUCGAAUCUUUGAACGCACCUUGCGCUCCUUGGUAUUCCUUGGAGCAUGCCUGUUUGAGUAUCAUGAAAUAUUCAAAGUAAAUCUUUUGUUAACUCAAUUGGUUUCUACUUUGGUAUUGGAGGUCUUUGCAGCUUCACACCUGCUCCUCUUUGUUCAUUAGCUGGAUCUCAGUGUUAUGCUUGGUUCCACUCGGCGUGAUAAGUUAUCUAUCGCUGAGGACACUGUAAAAGGUGGCCAAGGUAAAUGCAGAUGAACCGCUUCUAAUAGUCCAUUGACUUGGACAAUACUUUUAUGAUCUGAUCUCAAAUCAGGUAGGACUACCCGCUGAACUUAAGC